rnacentral:rRNA from 1 species
AUACGGAGGGGGCUAGCGUUGUUCGGAAUUACUGGGCGUAAAGCGUACGUAGGCGGACUGAUCAGUUGGGGGUGAAAUCCCAGGGCUUAACCCUGGAACUGCCUUCAAUACUGUCAGUCUUGAGUUUGGGAGAGGUGAGUGGAAUUCCUAGUGUAGAGGUGAAAUUCAUAGAUAUUAGGAGGAACACCAGUGGCGAAGGCGGCUCACCGGCCCAUUACUGACGCUGAGGUACGAAAGCGUGGGGAGCAAACAGGAUUAGAAACCCGAGUAGUCC